rnacentral:rRNA from 1 species
UACGAAGGGGGCUAGCGUUGCUCGGAAUCACUGGGCGUAAAGGGUGCGUAGGCGGGGCUUUAAGUCAGGGGGGAAAUCCUGGAGCUCAACUCCAGAACUGCCUUUGAUACUGAAGAUCUUGAGUUCGGGAGAGGUGAGUGGAACUGCGAGUGUAGAGGUGAAAUUCGUAGAUAUUCGCAAGAACACCAGUGGCGAAGGCGGCUCACUGGCCCGAUACUGACGCUGAGGUGCGAAAGCGUGGGGAGCAAACAGG